GUUUGAUGAAAUGGAUCAAAAAUAUUUGAUAUCAGUUCACAUAUGUCAAAUUUAAGAACUGGGAUAUCAUUAAAUGAAAUUGAUGUAAUUUGUCACUGGGCUAAUGACAUUCAGGGGACAGUACAUUACUAACUGGUUUACUUAUUACAAUAUGUCAUUGUAACCUGAAAAAUCAUGAUUUGCAAUGUAUGAUAAUGUAGAUUAAAAAUAUUUCAUAAGUUCACAUAUGGCAAAUUUAAGAAGUGAAAUAUGAUGAAAGGAAGUUGAUGUUAUUAAAUGGUCACUGCAGGCUAAUGACAUUUGGGUUGGGGGUGGGGGGGACAGUACAUCUCAGUGUUACUAAUUGACAUAAUUAAGACGAUGAUUUUACAAUAUGUCACUGUAGGGGGAUAUAACAGUUUCUAGGUACAAAAUCACAUGAUAACCAAACAUUUGAGAAAUAUGGAAGUGGAUCGCUAUCGUUGAAGUUUUAUCCUCAUUAUUUUAGUCCCACAUUUUGACCUUAAAGACAGGCUACAAAUGAAAUUAAGUGACGGGUGAUACAAUUCUGGUACCAAUAUAGUAACUUAUAAUCAUUUUGUUAUUUG
rnacentral:lncRNA from 1 species